UAUUGUAAUAUCUGGGUUUACAGUCCGAGUGCUGACACAGCGAAUGUGGAGUCUGUCGAUACAGACAAUGGAUGCUAUUCAUUUGCUAAUAUUCUAUUGUUUGUACUCAGGCUACGGCCCAUUGUAGCCUGUGUUACCUGGGAUGUGAAUACAUGGUUGGUGAGACCAGUUCCAGACGCUUAGCUCAUCAUUGAGGGACGCUACAAUAUAAAUAUAAACAUAAACAGAUAAUGUAAUGGUAUAAGGAAACUAACAGAAACCACGAAUCAGCCCAUAAAAUAGUUCUACAUGAUACAGUGUAGGGUGCAGGGUGAAAGGCCCAUUGUGGGGCCUUCACUAUACAGUCAUUCUAAGUUUUGAGAGCUUCCCUAUUUUUGGAGUGUGAUAGUUUGAUUUCGUCUUUCAAAUUAAGGGUGGUUUAUGAUUUGAACUUUGAUUUAUGAAUGCUUUAGAUUAACAAGGGAUGUAUUUGUCUACCAUUACUCCACAAUAUCAGAUCAAUUUGGUUUAAUUUAUAGUAUGCAAUAUGACAAUAAUGUUUUCAAAACAAGAUGUUCGGGCGUUGCGAUACAUUUUAAGUAACAAUUGGUAUGUUCUGUUUUUUAAUCAAGGAGGAUCCAAGUGAAGCUACAGGAGUUUCAGCAACGUCAAAAACUGGGACCGAACAGUUUGUUUUGCUUGAUGAGGAACAGGAAGGGCAGCCUCUCCCAAAGAGAAGGAGACCUGGAGAGAAACAGAAGCCGGGUUUAAGCCACUGCCACCAUCCACAUACAUCGAGGAAGAUGAGGGAGAGAAAUUCUCCUACCAUUAAAGAGGGCGAUACACUCAAAGACUUUUUCAGUGGACAUUGCUGAUCUAGUUGAAAGUGGGUACUGGCCAGCAACAGUCAAUUUUAAAACCUUGUAUGCAGUGGAUUGGUUCACUAAAUAUGAGGAUCUCAAGAUUGCGGCUCUGGGAAUGUCACGGCAAGCUUUUGUUAGCAUGCCUGAACAUCGCACAAAAGUCUUAGGUCGCAGAUUAAGAUAUGUGGGGAUACCAUGCAGAAUGCAUUACUGGAAUAGACCUAUGCCAAAUUUGAAGUUGAGAGGCUGUCUCAGGUGCAGCAUUCAGUGCCCUGCGUGCACACCCUCCAUGUUGGCUUUUGCAGUGGAUGGGAUCCGUAAACUAUACGGCUUUAAGAGCCAACCAGGGAUUCUGAGGUGUCUUCCUUGGUUGACUACAUCCAUGAGACGACAAAACACACUGUGCAAAGGACCUUGAGAACAUCACCACUCUACAGGAAGACACAGUCCAGUAAUGGGUGUCAGAUGUUCAGCAGUGGACGACAGGACCAACCAAUCAAAAUGACUUGCAGAACGCCAUUGAGGACUCUAUUUGAGCAUUAAGCAGCAAAGAUUUCAGCUGUAUCGUCAGGCUGGCAGUACUGAGGCAUUUACGGAGACGGGACAUGAGGGUCUACUCUGCGUGCUCAAGAGAAGAUUGCACAAAGUUCAAGCUCAGCAGGCUGCAGUGGGUCCGACAUAUUCUGGAACGGCAACAAUGUCUUUGGAUGACUCCUCCUCUGAAGAGGAAAACAUGGAGAGUUACUUCUUCGCUGCUCAAGAACUGCGAGUGCUGUGAUUAGUUCUUCUCAAGUGAAGCUGUACCACUGUGCUCCAGCUCCACACUCCCUCCUGCAGCCUCCGCUCCUGAUGCUAACCUCCUGUCUCCAUCACACCAAGCAGCAAACCUGGAGUGACAGAACCUUCUCCAUAGCUGCC